AGAGUAGGGAUUGUUUAUGGCAUUCCAUAAAUAGGCCAGACAAGCUCUUUGGCCAGUACUCCUUGAAGAAGUUUCCACCCCCCAGGACAAGGCCAGAGUUUCCUGGUUUGCCUGCUGCAGCUCACCGAGGCAGGGUUACAGUUCUUGACAGCUGGCGUGGUGGCACAUAUCUGUGAUUCCA
rnacentral:lncRNA from 1 species